UCUGCGUUGAAUGGCAGAGGAGUUAUGUGAAGCUGUUUUGGCUGUGUCUCUGAAGGAAGAUGAGAUUUGGUUCUCACAGCUGACUGCCUCUGUGGACCAGAACAGGAAUCUCCUACCUCCAAAAACUGGUCUUGAGUGGGAUAUAGACAGCCUCUGUUAAGAUUCUUUAUGAGGACUGAGGAAGACAAAGUCAAUCUUAAACCUUUGACUCCUAACAUCUUCCAAAACUAGGACUACAUUGACCUUGGCUUGUCAACUCCAAGGCCGCAAGGGAUUCUUCACGCACUAGGAUCCAUCUGUGAAGAAGACUUGAAUCCAGUUGUAGAUAUUCUGUUAUUUUGAUAAAUUAAUUCUUAAAGUGUUGGACAAUGUAAUUAAAAACUUAUUUCUAGAGUGUUGAUGUCUGUUAACGUCGUGAACAUUAUGAAGUCAAUGGAGCUUGAAAAUGGGACAGCAAUAUAAAAUGUUUUACUCUGUUUUGUCGUGGUGUUUCAGACUAACCUCGCCUUUGCUUUUGGUGUGCCCAGUGGCACUGUGCCGAGCGAUAAGCGCGUUGUCGUGUCGUGAUCAUUUUUCUUCAUUUCGCCCUGCGUCCCUGGAGGCGACAAGAACACCGCGCCCCUCAAAUUAAUCCUCCGAGACACGAAAUCCGUUUAAACAACUCCCACGACUUCUGAUUCCUUCUUCUUUUCUCUUCAUAUGAGAUAUGAUUUAUGGAAAGGUUCAGGUAUCUGAAAUGGUCUUUCUUCUCCUUCUUCAUAUUUCAGCUACUUUUUUCCCCGACAUUUGUACAGUGUAGUAUUUAUUUUGAAAAUUGUAGAUCUUAAUUGAUUUUAAUCAUUAAAGACGACACUAAAGACAAUGCAGCAAAUCGUUGAAGCCUAUAGAUUUUAGGCGGUAUUUCCUUAUUUCAUUUGUUACUACAAACGCUCAAAAUGUCCUCCGUUGACACGAACACAUGUGCACCACGACUUCGGAACACGGCACUUAGCCUUCGAGUACCCCGGGUAUGUUACUGUUAGUACCUAGUUACGAAGUCCUUCCAACGCAUGUGUUCAUGCCCACGGAGGACAUUUCGAGAAUUGUUUGUAACAUAUGCAAAAAAAAUCAUUUUAGUAAAGAAUUUCGCAUGUUAGAGAUACUGGAACAUCAUACCAUUAUUUUAUAUUCUCUACCUUUCCACAGAAGCAUUUUUGGAACUUCAUUCAACGAAUAUUUUCUCAUGUUGACAUCACGAAGUUCUAUCAAUUAUGGCACAAUUUAGAAAUACACUGUGUAAUGAAUAACAGGGACAUUCUAUUUACCUGCUUGUCCGAGUGUUUUUUGACAAUCAAAAAUUUUCAAUUAUGUUUUACUCCAUCCGCGCGUAGGUAACCCUCACUCUACCUGAAAUUCAAAUCAUACCUUAAAUAUUAUCUCAAAAAGUAUCACAAUGCAAAAAGUAAGAAAAAUUGCAUGAAACACAUUAAAUUAAAACACGUCAAUUUCAAACAUUCUUGAGAAUGAUACAUAUUUAACAAAACAUACCUUAAAUAUAAAUAUUAUGGCUUUAUACUUUGGAAAUUUGUUAUUGAUUACUUUCGUCAUUAACAGAAUUUAUUUAUCUUUACUUUAUUUCUCCAAUGAACGAACAUCAAGACCAUUCAAUUCUGUAGACAAUAAUGGCACUAAACAUAAGCUUCAAAUUGGAUUACACGUGUAUUUCCCUGUUUCAGCUACUCUCAUGCACAUUUGUCGACCGAAAACUGAUUGCAAUUUCCGUGCGUGCGGUUAGCAACAAUGCUGGAAGACAUUCUAUAAAAUCGUGCUGCUGAGCAAACAACACUUUACAUCUGCAGGUAGCGGCGUGUUUACCGAAGCAAACAUUGCAUCCGAACAGGAAAUGCGAGGCUGUCGAUUAGCCUACCGUCUAUUUACCCACGGUUUAAUUACCCCUAGUUGCCGCCAGAGUGCUCGCGUGUCACUCUUGACACGCAACGUAGAAUCCAUUAAAAUCCUCUGCACAAAUAUUUCCGAACUCGAAUCAAGUUACUAGGUAAUUUUUCUGUAACUACGUGCUCGUGCGUGCGCGCGCAUUGUUGCUUGUACAUAUUAAUACUACGUCAACUUAAAGGAAACGUGCUUUGUGAUAUUGUGUGUAUAGACCUUGUUUAUUUCAUAUUUUUCUUUCUUCGAAUCUGUAGGCACCUCACAUAUUAAUUUAAUACUGAGACAUCUGACAGGUACAUGAAAGAAGUCUUUCCUGGUGAAAGAGACCGUCUCCGAAACAUGGGAUUCUAACUCCAUGGCUCUGCUGUAGCACAAUCAAUAUAGUGACUAGGUUAGGGGAUGGACAGCCGGGGUUCGAUUGCCGAUAGAGAAGGCUACUUUUCUUCGCCACUGCACGUCCAGACCGGUUCUGGGGCCCACCCAAUGCUCAUAUCCAUGGGUAAAGCCGUAGAGACGUGAAGUUAAGCAUUCUCCUUCGUCUACCUAGUGUCGAGGUUAAGAAUGCGUGGAGCUGUACAUCCAUUACAUAAGUCUAUAAGGCGUGAAGUUUAAUGAAGAAAUUUCGUACUUACACGACUGAUCUCUUUAGAAUACAUUAUAUUAGUUUGCCAUGAAAGCUUCAAAUAUCAUCUAACUUUAUUAUCGUGUUACUCCGAAUUAUAUCUCCGUGAAUGUAAUGAGUACGGUCCGACGGUCCAGGGUUUUGUUUCCGGCAGGGGUGUUUUUUUAUGUUCAGCUCUACAGCAGAGUUUCGUGUCUCGUUGUCUACGGGAAUAAUUUCCUGAGUAGGAUAUGGAGUCCUCCGUUAACAGAAUGAGGAAGACUUCGAAUGUUACCUACCAUUCAACAUGCCUGUCUGCUUAGGCCCAGGAAAUCCCCAAUUUGAAAAAUGUGGAAUAAAUUACAAUGUGAAGAACUGAUCUCUAUGCUGUUUACAGGCUGUUUCAUUCUUUUUUAGAUUUUGAAGAUUAUAAAGUAAUUAAAUUUAAUACAGGAUAUACCAUUUACAAAACAACCUAACAGUAAUAAAGAACUACGUUAUUAAAUAUAAUCAAAUGCAGCUCUAGACCCAUGUAAUAGACCUCUCGAGUCAAAAUCACCCUGGUUGCUAGGCUGCUGCUCCAGUCAGCUGCGCAAAAAUUGUAGAUGUGGACGUGGUAUGUUCAUUAGCAGGGCAUGAACAGAGAUUAGAAUUUAUAUUUUUGGCAUUAUUCCUUAUUGUAUACUAUUAUUUAUGGAUUACUGUGAUGAAUUGGAGACCUUGUUUAUCUUCUUCUUCUUUAUUACGCCGUCUCCUUUACAGGAGGUUGGCGACAUAUUAUGAACAGGAUCCUUCCAUCCUGCCUUGUUUGUUUUUCAUUUUUGAACAUUACUUCACAUCGAAAUUUUAUGUUGUGAAGCCUUUAGCAACCCUUAUCUCGAGAAUAUUUUUUGUAAAAGGAGAAUAGUUGUGGCCCGAAGACUGAUAAAGUGACAGGGGGAUGGAAAAUAUUACGUGGUAAGGAGCUACAUAACUUGUCCAAAAAAUCUUCUACACUACGAUUUAUUUUGUUGCUAUGGCAUUAACAUGUUUUGAUGUAUAAAGUGUAAUAUUGAGGCUUCCACACUUGUUACAUCAAUCGCUGAAUGUAAUUAGCUGUGUCCAUGAAUCUUACGUGAAAUUUAAAAUUAUAUUUUAAGUUGAUUUAGUUGUUACAGUAGGUUCUUUCAUUAUUAAUUAGUCAUUUGUUAUAUUAACUAUUAGUUGUGUUAUACUGUCUAAAUCAGUGGUAUUCAACCUUUUUUGUUCGUGUACCCCCAGAUAUAAUUUCUC